GACGAACGCUGGCGGCGCGCUUAACACAUGCAAGUCGAGCGAGAACCGGUCCUUCGGGACCGGGGAAAGCGGCGAACGGGUGAGUAACACGUGAGUAAUCCACCCUCGGUACCGGGAUAGCCCGGGGAAACCCGGAUUAAUACCGGAUGGCCCAUCCGCUCUUCGGAGCGGCUGGAAAAGGUAGCUUCGGCCUCCGACCGAGGACGAGCUCGCGGCGGAUUAGCUUGUUGGCGGGGUAACGGCCCACCAAGGCGACGAUCCGUAGCUGGUCUGAGAGGACGAUCAGCCACACUGGGACUGAGACACGGCCCAGACUCCUACGGGAGGCAGCAGUGGGGAAUCUUGCGCAAUGGGCGAAAGCCUGACGCAGCGACGCCGCGUGCGGGAAGAAGGCCUUCGGGUUGUAAACCGCUUUCAGAAGGGACGAAGCUACUCGGGUUAACAGCCCAGAGGGUGACGGUACCUCCAGAAGAAGCCACGGCUAACUACGUGCCAGCCGCCGCCGUAACAC
rnacentral:rRNA from 1 species